AUGUUUGUAUAUUCAACUGCUCUUCCUGUGCAUCAACCAUUUGAAUUGGUGAUCGAGAAAUCUGGAGUGAAAACAAGGUCUUCAGAGCAGACAAUGCUACCUGCUGAAGCAGAUAUCUUGCUGGUUACAGAUAGCUCCUCAGAGGAGGAUUCAGAGGCAGAUGACCAGUCCUAUUAUCCCCCUGAGGUGUAUGCUCAAACUUGGCAGGGUUAUAUUACUCAUAUCAUGCAUAGGUGGGAGCUAAUUUCCUCCGAUGCCGCAUCGCGCCUUUGCAGAAGAGGGACGGGUUCACCUGGUUGUAUGGAGAUGCUGCAGACAGGAUGUGCCUAUACCCAGGCCUCACCAACAAUAUGUCGAUUUAUGGGCAUGACUGGCUAUGUGAAAAACUAUUUGGCACCCUCAGGCCGUUCAAUUUACCGGCAAAGGUUCUCCCUGAACAUCAACUCUGCCCAGGACCAGAUUUUGAAGUGGAUGCCUGACUACAAUGCUUAUGGAGUUGAGGCCGACUAG
rnacentral:rRNA from 1 species